rnacentral:rRNA from 1 species
AGAGUUUGAUCCUGGCUCAGAUUGAACGCUGGCGGUAGGCUUAACACAUGCAAGUCGUGCGAGAAAGUACCUUCGGGUACGAGUAGAGCGGCGGACGGGUGAGUAACGCGUAGGAAUCUACCUAGUAGAAGGGGAUAGCCCGAGGAAACUCGGAUUAAUACCGUAUACCUCCUUAGGGAGAAAGAGGGCUUAGCUUUGAUGCUCUCGCUAUUAGAUGAGCCUGCGUAAGAUUAGCUAGUUGGUGAGGUAAUGGCUCACCAAGGCGACGAUCUUUAGCUGGUCUGAGAGGACGAUCAGCCACAUUGGGACUGAGACACGGCCCAGACUCCUACGGGAGGCAGCAGUGGGGAAUAUUGGACAAUGGGCGCAAGCCUGAUCCAGCCAUACCGCGUGUGUGAAGAAGGCUUUCGGGUUGUAAAGCACUUUAAGUAAGGAGGAAAAGGUUAUAGAUAAUACCUGUAACCCGUGACGUUACUUACAGAAUAAGGACCGGCUAAUUCCGUGCCAGCAGCCGCGGUAAUACGGAAGGUCCAAGCGUUAAUCGGAAUUACUGGGCGUAAAGGGCGCGUAGGUGGUUUAUUAAGUUGGAUGUGAAAGCCCUGGGCUCAACCUAGGAACUGCAUCCAAAACUAGUUCACUAGAGUACGAAAGAGGGAAGUAGAAUUCACAGUGUAGCGGUGGAAUGCGUAGAUAUUGUGAAGAAUACCAAUGGCGAAGGCAGCUUCCUGGUUCUGUACUGACACUGAGGUGCGAAAGCGUGGGUAGCGAACAGGAUUAGAUACCCUGGUAGUCCACGCCGUAAACGAUGACAACUAGCCUGUUGGAAAACAAUAGUUUUUUCAG